rnacentral:rRNA from 1 species
UGGGGAAUUUUGGACAAUGGGCGAAAGCCUGAUCCAGCAAUGCCGCGUGUGUGAAGAAGGCCUUCGGGUUGUAAAGCACUUUUGUCCGGAAAGAAAUCCUUGGCUCUAAUACAGUCGGGGGAUGACGGUACCGGAAGAAUAAGCACCGGCUAACUACGUGCCAGCAGCCGCGGUAAUACGUAGGGUGCAAGCGUUAAUCGGAAUUACUGGGCGUAAAGCGUGCGCAGGCGGUUUGCUAAGACCGAUGUGAAAUCCCCGGGCUCAACCUGGGAACUGCAUUGGUGACUGGCAGGCUAGAGUAUGGCAGAGGGGGGUAGAAUUCCACGUGUAGCAGUGAAAUGCGUAGAGAUGUGGAGGAAUACCGAUGGCGAAGGCAGCCCCCUGGGCCAAUACUGACGCUCAUGCACGAAAGCGUGGGGAGCAAACAGGAUUAGAUACCCUGGUAGUCCACGCCCUAAACGAUGUCAACUAGUUGUUGGGGAUUCAUUUCCUUAGUAACGUAGCUAACGCGUGAAGUUGACCGCCUGGGGAGUACGGUCGCAAGAUUAAAACUUAAAUGAAUUAACGGGGUCAUA